rnacentral:rRNA from 1 species
CCUACGGGUGGCAGCAGUGAGGAAUAUUGGUCAAUGGACGAGAGUCUGAACCAGCCAAGUAGCGUGAAGGAUGACUGCCCUAUGGGUUGUAAACUUCUUUUAUAUGGGAAUAAAAUGUUCCACGUGUGGCAUUUUGUAUGUACCAUAUGAAUAAGGAUCGGCUAACUCCGUGCCAGCAGCCGCGGUAAUACGGAGGAUCCGAGCGUUAUCCGGAUUUAUUGGGUUUAAAGGGAGCGUAGGUGGAUUGUUAAGUCAGUUGUGAACGUUUGCGGCUAAACCGUAGAAUUGCAGUUGAAACGGGCAGGCUGGAGUACAGUAGAGGUGGGCGGAAUUCGUGGUGUAGCGGUGAAAUGCUUAGAUAUCACGAAGAACACCGAUUGCGAAGGCAGCUCACUGGACUGCAACUGACACUGAGGCUCGAAAGUGUGGGUAUCAAACAGGAUUAGAUACCCUAGUAGUC